GAUGAACGCUGGCGGCGUGCCUAAUACAUGCAAGUCGAGCGAACGGACGAGAAGCUUGCUUCUCUGAUGUUAGCGGCGGACGGGUGAGUAACACGUGGAUAACCUACCUAUAAGACUGGGAUAACUUCGGGAAACCGGAGCUAAUACCGGAUGAUAUUUUGAACCGCAUGGUUCAAAAGUGAAAGACGGUCUUGCUGUCACUUAUAGAUGGAUCCGCGCUGCAUUAGCUAGUUGGUAAGGUAACGGGUUACCAAGGCAACGAUGCAUAGCCGACCUGAGAGGGUGAUCGGCCACACUAGAUCUGAGACACGGUCCAUACUCCUACGGGAGGCAGCAGUAGGGAAUCUUACGCAAUGGGCGAAAGCCUGACGGAGCAACGCCGCGUGAGUGAUGAAGGUCUUCGGAUCGUAAAACUCUGUUAUUAGUGAAGAACAGAUGUGUAAGUAACUGUGCACAUCUUGACGGUACCUAAUCAGAAAGCCACGGCUAACUACGUG
rnacentral:rRNA from 1 species